rnacentral:rRNA from 1 species
AGUGAACGCUGGCGGUAGGCCUAACACAUGCAAGUCGAACGGCAGCACAGGAGAGCUUGCUCUCUGGGUGGCGAGUGGCGGACGGGUGAGGAAUACAUCGGAAUCUGCCCAGUCGGGGGGGAUAACGUAGGGAAACUUACGCUAAUACCGCAUACGACCUUCGGGUUAAAGGGGGGGAUCGCAAGACCUCUCGCGAUUGGAUGAGCCGAUGUCGGAUUAGCUAGUUGGCGGGGUAAUGGCCCACCAAGGCGACGAUCCGUAGCUGGUCUGAGAGGAUGAUCAGCCACACUGGAACUGAGACACGGUCCAGACUCCUACGGGAGGCAGCAGUGGGGAAUAUUGGACAAUGGGCGCAAGCCUGAUCCAGCCAUACCGCGUUGGUGAAGAAGGCCUUCGGGUUGUAAAGCCCUUUUGUUGGGAAAGAAAUCUUUCAGGCUAAUACCCUGGGAGGAUGACGGUACCCAAAGAAUAAGCACCGGCUAACUUCGUG